ensembl:lncRNA novel transcript
CAGCAUCCGAAAUGCAUUUUUUGUGGGGACAGCAGCACACGUGGGGAAGGAACACAGAAUCGGCUGUGGCCAGCGGGUCUAUUCAUGCCGUGAAGAUCCUCCCAGACCCCUCCCGAUGCCUACUGGGCUUCAGGCCCCAGGAAACAAAGCUAAGUCAUGCUAGCCCCUGCUCUGGAGAAACCGCUUCCCGGUGGCUGGGAUGGAAACAAGCACCAGGCCCCGAGGAUGCAGAAUCAGAGGAUUCCCAGGAGCUUCGUUAACUGGCCUUUGCGUUGCUCGUGCUGCAUUAUCUUGAGUUAAUAUUUGCCCUCCAUAUUUUCAAGUAACAGGCCAAGUCAACUUGGCGUUGCGGAUUGCAAACAUCAGCCCUGAGUAUGGCCCAAACUUCAAGAACCUUGGGCUCCAACAGCACUGGCCGGCGGUGGUGACUGACGGGUGGUGAAUUGAGCCAUGGAGAGAUGGCCCUGAGUGCCAGUGAACAAUGCUCCCCUUCUGAAUCCUGAGGCCCUGGAGAAUUUCUGCAAGCAUGAGUCACCACCUUCCAGAAAGAACCCAUGGCCACUGAAGAGCUGCUUCCGACCCAGCCCCAGAUGGAGUUUCACUCUUGUUGCCCAGGCUGGAAUGCAAUGGCUUGAUCUCAGCUCACUGCAACCUCCAUCUCCCGGGUUCAAGCGAUUCUCCUCCCUUAGCCUCCGGAGUAUCUGGGAUUACAGGCAUGCACCACCAUGCCCAGCUAAUUUUGUAUUUUUAGUAGAGACAGGGUUUCUACUGUCCACACCCAAGGCUCUUGGACAGAUUCCAGAUGCCAGGCUGAGAAUCUUUGCAAGUCCCUGUUAGCUGGCCCAGUGCCCGCCAGGUCAUGGGAAUUCAGCAAACGACCCCAGUGGGGGCAGUGUGGCCAUCUGAAGAGGCCUCAGCUUUGCACGACACAGAGUGAAUGAUCCCAGCUCAGCCCCUUCCUGGCUGCAAAACCGUGGGCCCUCCAGUCCUCAAGCCCCUCUGCAUUCAUCUUGUGGGAUGAACUCCCCCACAGAGGGUAUGGACAGACGUGGUGUGCACAGUGGGUGCCCUAUUAGUGAAGGUUAUUAUUUGUUGAACUUGGUUGAACCCAGGCCACCUUCGGCAGCUGCCCUAGUCCAAUCCUUCUUUUCUUACUUCCACUUGACAAGUGUCAUUAAGCCCAUGUAUCAGACUGUCUCUGAAGAGUAAUGCUGGGGUGUUUGAUGGUGAUGACAAUGAUGUCCAAGGAUCUGUUAAGCCACAUCCACAUGGCCUGGCAGUGGCUGCGUCUCCCUUCCGAGAAAGACCCCAGAGCAAGUCCCUUAGGAACACUCCCUCUCUAGGAAGGCACUGCCAUGGAAAGAUCAUGGCAGGGGCUGCCAGGUCUAGGAAGUUCUCAGCACACGUGGGCCGGGGAGGCAACUGACCUUCCACGCCCAGCAUCUUGUGGAAGGCAUGAUGCACUGCCAGCCCUGCUUCCCCUCCUCUGCGCUCCUCACCUGGGCAACCUAAAGAAAGUGUGGGUGGAGUUGGCACUGCAUCCAUGGUGGAACAUCAACAAUGCCGGUGAUGAGGGUAAUUUUCAGAUGAGUUGAGAUAAGCCUGCUGCGUUACUCUCUGACCUUCGCCGUCAUUUUCACACAAUAGGUGGAUGAUAAUGUUGAGCUGUGUCUAAGAGCUCCUCCAGACAGAGAGGAAUGAGCAAAGGCAGCAUGAACCCAAACAAACAGAAGCAAUUUCAGCUGCAGAAGUCCUUCAGGGCUUAAAAGCAUUGUUUGCUACGCAUUAGGCAUUUCUGAAUCUGAAGAGAAUCUUUUUUCUCUCCCUUUCCUAUUUCUCAAAUAAGGAUGAUCUAGGGAAAAAUAUCAGGGGAGUGGAGGUCAGGAGAGGAGUGUGUGGAUUCAGCUCUGCCUGGGGCAAGGCGCUUUUUCUCUCUGCCCCCCUUCCCCCCAUUUCCAUCUGUAAUAAGGCACAGGCUGGACCAGACAUGCCUCCAGUGCCUGCUAGCUCCACCAAUAAGGACCGUGAAUAACACUUAUUCCCAUUCCCAUUUUACUGGUUUCCGAAUAUGAGAAGAUCAUUGCCAAUUUUUCUCUUUUCUCUUUCAACACUACUGUGAUGGUUAAUGGUGAGUGUCAACUUGAUUGGAUUGAAGGAUGCAAAGCAUUGGUCCUGGGUGUGUCUGUGUGGGUGCUGCCAAAGGAGAUUAACAUUUGAGUCAGUGGACUGGGAGAGGCAGACCCACCCUCAGUCUGGGCACCAGCUAAUCAGCUGCCAGUGCGGCUAGGAUAAAGCAGGCAGAGGAACAUGGAAGGACGAGACUGGCUGAGUCUUCCAGCCUCCAUCUUUCUCCUGUGCUGGAUGCUUCCUGCCCUCGAACAUUGGACUCCAAGUUCUUCAGUUUUUGGACUCUUGGACUUCCACCAGUGGCUUGCCAGGGGCUCUCGGGCCUUCGGACACAGACUGAAGGCUGCACUGUUGGCUUCCCUACUUUUGAGAUGUUGGGACUCGGACUGCUUCCUUGCUCCUGGGCUAGCCGAUGGCCUAUUGUGGGACUUCACCUUCUAACCGUGUGAGUCGAUUCUCCUUAAUAAACUCCCUUUUAUAUAUACAUCUGUCCUAUAAGUCCUGUCUCUCUAGAGAACCCUGACUAAUGCAACUACUUCAUAAGCCACUCUGCUCUCCUUCUACCACACUUACCUGCUCACAGGGCAAAACCUGUCAGGGAUGUGGAGCUUUGUAGGGCAGACGAACCCACCAGCCUCCCAUGCAAGGCACCCGAGAGGGGUUAGAGGUAGUAAGGAAAAGGGCUAACGGAGGUGGCUCCUGGAUAGACAAACACCAGUUCCAAGUCCUCAGGCCCCAGAAACCUCUCAGGACCCAAUCUCAUUUGUUCAACUCCAAGUCAACCAUGACCCAUGGAAAGCUCAUGAAUCCGUGGUGGCCAGCAGGCAAGAAACAAUGUUGCUAUAUACUGGUGUUUGCCAUCGGUGGAAAUUCAUACUACGGAAUGAUCUCAUCCGUGUGCAUCUGCUCCAGCUGCCCUAACAAAGUAGCACACUGGGGCCUUAAACAACAGAGAUGCAAUUCCUCACAGUUCCGGAGGCGGGAAGUCCGAGAUCACAGUGUUGGCAGGUCUGAUUCCUCCCAAGGCCUCUCUCCCUGGACUGCAGAGGCUGAUUCCUACCUUUGUCCACACAUGGUCGUCCCUUUGUGUGUGUCUGUGUCCUAAUCUCUAUUCUUACAAGGACACCAGUCACAGCAGAUUAGGGCCCACCCUGAUGACCUCAUUUUAAUUUAAUGAACCUCUUUUUUUUUAAUCGGCAUACAUUACUUAUUUUUAUUAAUGUAAAAUAAAAUAUAUUAACAUUCUAUUCGCUACAUGUCAAAA